GACGUAGGGUGCAAGCGUUGUCCGGAUUUAUUGGGCGUAAAGAGUUCGUAGGCGGUUUCCUAAGUCUGGUGUUAAAGCCCGGAGCUCAACUCCGGCAUGGCAUUGGAAACUGGGGAGCUAGAGUAUGGUAGAGGUUACGGGAAUUCCUGGUGUAGCGGUGAAAUGCGUAGAUAUCAGGAGGAACACCUGUGGCGAAAGCGCGUGACUGGACCAUAACUGACGCUGAGGAACGAAAGCCAGGGUAGCAAAAAGG
rnacentral:rRNA from 1 species